rnacentral:lncRNA from 1 species
AAAAAAAAAAUUAAAACGAAAAAGUAUAUGCCGCGGUUGUGGUAAGAACCGCGGCAUAUUCCCCUACAGUUUUUUAAAAUCGCAGGUCUGUUUUUGUGAUAUCCACUACCACAAAAACAGACCUGCAUAUAAAAACAUAUACAGAAAUUCAAUUUCAACAUAACAAAGACAUGUUCAAAUGUAUUUCAACAUCAAAUAAAGUACAGAGUCUAAAAAAAUACAAUCUAAUCAAAUGCAAUGUUUACAUCUAAGAGCUAUUGUAUAAUCUAAUUAUAGACUUCGCAGCAGCCUUCCUAAUGAAUAGUAGUGGCUUCUCAGGAACUGGUGUAGUAGUCUUGAAUCUCUGCAAAAGACAAUUCAUAUUAAUUAGUGUAUAUGAAUUCAACAUUUGGGAAAAAAAUCAAAAUUUGUUAAAGUUAAAUAUUACCGUUUCCCAGCGACUUGUGAUGUGAGAACGAACAAUAUGGGUCAUCCAAUACAUUACAUAGUAUCCGCACUCGUAUGACCCAUUUUGUCUGUUACACUACAAUAUAUCAUCACAGUUGAUAAUAGUUAGUGAAUAACAUUA